rnacentral:rRNA from 1 species
GUUAGGAAUAUUGGACAAUGGGCGCAAGCCUGAUCCAGCCAUGCCGCGUGAGUGAUGAAGGCCUUCGGGUUGUAAAGCUCUUUAGCCGAUGAUUAUAAUGACUGUAGUCGGAAAAUAAGCCCCGGCUAACUUCGUGCCAGCAGCCGCGGUAAUACGAAGGGGGCGAGCGUUAUUCGGAAUCACUGGGCGUAAAGCGUGCGUAGGCGACUUUGCAAGUUGGGAGUGAAAGCCCAGGGCUCAACCCUGGAAUUGCUCUCAAAACUGCAAGGCUCGAAUUCGGGAGAGGAUAGCGGAAUUGUCAGUGUAGCAGUGAAAUGCGUAGAUAUUGACAGGAACACCAGUGGCGUAAGCGGCUAUCUGGACCGAUAUUGACGCUGAGGCACGAAAGCGUGGGGAUCAAACAGGAUUUGAUACCCCAGUAGUCC